rnacentral:lncRNA from 1 species
AAUGUGAUAACUAAUUUUUUUUUUUCUUUCGGUGCAUCGUUAAUGAGAAUCUCUCCAAACCUAGAAAGAGAGAAAAACCACAUAGAUUAUGCAACGAUUAACAUUUAAUCCAGAAACAUUUUCUAGAAUCUAACAUCCAAAUACCAAUUAGCACUUGCAUAUUAUGAUUAGGAUUGUUAUCAGUAUCAAUCGCCUCAUCCUAAAUUAUACCAAAUUAAAACUGUUGAAACAAACAACAUGAUAGGUGCUUCGGUGCCCUUUAUUUUCAAAAUAAUAAUAAUAAUGGUGUCCUGAACUGCUGCUCCUCGAUCCCACCCAUGACCUGAAGUAAAGUUCCUUCAACUCCUUAUAGAGUAAGAUGAGAACGAUUCUGAUUAACAUAGCUCCGUAGUUAAUUGAAAGAACUUGUUUUCCGAUGAGCAUGCACAAAACAACAGCAACUGCAAUAUAUUUCUUGGACUUGAUAUUCCUACACAAAAAUUAAACACAGAUUUGAGAUUGAUUUUCGUUCUUGAAAUUAUAACUCAUAAGAAAAAGUAGUAGUAAAUGAAACUUACAUGAACAGAAACGACAAUGCUUGAGUGACAGGAAAACAUAUGACUAGAAAAAGUUUGAAGAAGAAUGAAAGAAUAGAGCGGCAUAAAAGAUAUAUAAAACAGUAACAUAAUAGGGUUAGAAUUAAACACAGAAGUAUUUGAGUAGCUUCCAUUAUUUCUCUGCAAAAUAUACACAGAAAUAGAAUAGAAUUAGGGUUAGGGUUAGUUAGAUUAAUAAAUAUUUUAUAACUAAAUAACUAGUUUGUUAGAAGGAUUAACGAAGCACAUACCGAG